rnacentral:tRNA from 1 species
UGGGGCUGGGGCUUAGUGGUAGAGCACUAACCUGGUACGUGUGAGGCCCUGGGUUGGAUCCUCAGCACCACAA